rnacentral:rRNA from 1 species
GCAGUCGAGCGGCAGCGGAGAGUAGCUUGCUACUUUGCCGGCGAGCGGCGGACGGGUGAGUAAUGUCUGGGAAACUGCCUGAUGGAGGGGGAUAACUACUGGAAACGGUAGCUAAUACCGCAUGACCUCGCAAGAGCAAAGUGGGGGACCCUCGGGCCUCACGCCAUCGGAUGUGCCCAGAUGGGAUUAGCUAGUAGGUGAGGUAAUGGCUCACCUAGGCGACGAUCCCUAGCUGGUCUGAGAGGAUGACCAGCCACACUGGAACUGAGACACGGUCCAGACUCCUACGGGAGGCAGCAGUGGGGAAUAUUGCACAAUGGGCGCAAGCCUGAUGCAGCCAUGCCGCGUGUGUGAAGAAGGCCUUCGGGUUGUAAAGCACUUUCAGCGAGGAGGAAGGGUUCAGUGUUAAUAGCACUGUUCAUUGACGUUACUCGCAGAAGAAGCACCGGCUAACUCCGUGCCAGCAGCCGCGGUAAUACGGAGGGUGCAAGCGUUAAUCGGAAUUACUGGGCGUAAAGCGCACGCAGGCGGUUUGUUAAGUCAGAUGUGNAAUCCCCGAGCUUAACUUGGGAACUGCAUUUUGAACUGGCAGGCUAGAGUCUUGUAGAGGGGGGUAGAAUUCCAGGUGUAGCGGUGAAAUGCGUAGAGAUCUGGAGGA